GACGAACGCUGGCGGCGUGCCUAACACAUGCAAGUCGAACGGGGAUAUUUAAGCAGCAAUGCUUGGUUAUCCUAGUGGCGGACGGGUGAGUAACGCGUGAGCAAUCUGCCUUUCUGAGGGGGAUAACGACGGGAAACUGUCGCUAAUACCGCAUGAUAUAAGGGGAGGGCAUCCUACCCUUAUCAAAGGAGCAAUCCGCGGAAAGAUGAGCUCGCGUCCGAUUAGAUAGUUGGCGGGGUAACGGCCCACCAAGUCUGCGAUCGGUAGCCGGACUGAGAGGUUGAACGGCCACACUGGAACUGAGACACGGUCCAGACUCCUACGGGAGGCAGCAGUGGGGAAUAUUGGGCAAUGGGCGAAAGCCUGACCCAGCAACGCCGCGUGAGGGAAGAAGGUCUUCGGAUUGUAAACCUCUGUUCUUGGUGACGAAAAAGAUGACGGUAGCCAAGGAGAAAGCCCCGGCUAACUACGUG
rnacentral:rRNA from 1 species